rnacentral:rRNA from 1 species
AUGCCCUCUCCGCCUUCACAGAUCGCAUCGCCGCCCAGGGAAACGAUGAGCCGCGAGGCCAGCGGCGCGUCGGUGAGCUCUGUCCCGGUACCCGAGCCAGAGCGGCAGCAGGGGCAGGGGAACCAAGGGGAGGAGGCGGGGUGGACGCCGCUGGAGAAGGUGGCGGAUAAAGUGGAGGAGCUGUACAGUCUCCGCGACACCUUCUUCCCCCGAGACCCCUCCGAGAAGUCUGCGUCCCUCCGCGCCUGCGCCGACGCCGCCCUGGGAGUCCUCGAUUCCCUGCCUCCCGAGCAAAGAAAAUCCCCAGAAGAGCGUGUUAUUUAUGAAUUUUUGAUGGGAAAAAUACUCGAUGUCUUCCCAGAUUAUUGUAAGGAGGCUGAAGAGCAUUUAUCCAAAGCAGUAAAGCUGAAUCCAUCUCUUGUGGAUGCAUGGCUAUGUUUGGGUAACUGCAUCUGGAAGAAGGGGAAUUUGGCAUCAGCAAGGAACUGUUUCUUAUUAGCACUAAGUAAGGGCGCAGAUAAGAAAAUACUAUGUCAACUCUCAAUGCUUGAAAGGAGUAUGGCUCAAUCUAGUGAAGACCAAGUGUUGUUAGUGGAAGAGAGCAUUAAUCAUGCAAAAGAAGCUGUAAUGCUGGACAUAAAAGAUGGAAAUUCCUGGUAUAAUCUGGGUAAUGCAUACCUCACAAGCUUCUUUGCGAGCGGAGCCUGGGACAAAGCUAGGCUUCAUCAUUCGAUCAAAGCAUAUCAAAAUGCUGAGAAGGAUGAAACUAUGAAACUAAAUCCAGACCUCUACUAUAAUUGUGCCACAGCUUACAAAUACUUAGAGAACUAUGAAAGUGCCCUUCGCGGAUUUGAAGCUGCUGCGUUAAAAGAUCCUGCUCUCAGGGCUGACAUAGAAGUUCAGAAGAUCAUCAAUCUCCUUGAUAAGUUAGAGAAUGCAACGAAGGGACGACUACGACCCAAGAGAUCAGCAUCAUUGGUGUCAUCUCUGAAUGAAGUCAAUUUCAAGUUAUUCCACAAGAAAGCAACCAUAAGCAUCCUAUCAGGAGGUUUGAACAAGACAGUUGCUGUUGUGUGUAAAGUGGUUCUUUGGAUAAGACAUGACGAUGAUGCUCCACUGUAUUAUUUAACAUGUGACUUGGAUCAGUCUUAUUUCAUACUAUCAGUUUACGGGCUACAGAACGAAGCAAUUAAAGAAGGCGAUCGAGUGGUACUGCUGGAACCAUACUACAAAAUCCUAGAUAUAUCUUGGAAAGAACAGCGCUAUAAGUUCAAGUCAAUUCGUGUGGACUUCCCAGAACAAAUUAUUAUCAACGAGAAAGCUCCAGCUGCUCAUCAUGUUGCCCGGGCUUCAAUUCGUGCGCAGCAUAAACCAUAA